rnacentral:rRNA from 1 species
AGCGAACGCUGGCGGCAGGCCUAACACAUGCAAGUCGAACGAACCUUUCGGGGUUAGUGGCGGACGGGUGAGUAACACGUGGGAACGUGCCUUUAGGUUCGGAAUAACUCAGGGAAACUUGUGCUAAUACCGAAUGUGCCCUUCGGGGGAAAGAUUUAUCGCCUUUAGAGCGGCCCGCGUCUGAUUAGCUAGUUGGUUGAGGUAAUGGCUCACCAAGGCGACGAUCAGUAGCUGGUCUGAGAGGAUGAUCAGCCACAUUGGGACUGAGACACGGCCCAAACUCCUACGGGAGGCAGCAGUGGGGAAUCUUGCGCAAUGGGCGAAAGCCUGACGCAGCCAUGCCGCGUGAAUGAUGAAGGUCUUAGGAUGGUAAAAUUCUUUCACCGGGGACGAUAAUGACGGUACCCGGAGAAGAAACCCCGGCUAACUUCGU